rnacentral:tRNA from 1 species
GAGGGUGUAGCUCAGUGGUAGAUCUCUUGCCUACUGGGUGCAAAGUCCUGGGUUAGAUCCUCAGCACUUCCA